AACAUCAAUUCACCAAGGCCCAAAAGAUCAGCUGACCGGACCCAUCACACUUUCUAUUCUUCAGUACCUAGCACCUGAUAACCACAACAGUAACAACAAAGAUACCAAUAAUAAUCAAACAAUAUAUCAACCAAUGGCUUAAACAACGACAACUUCAGCAAUAUCGACGCCGAACAACACUAAAACUAUGGAAAAAUGAAAAAUCCGAUGGUUUUUCACCUCUCCCUUCGUCGGUCCUCACUCCUCACCCACAAUUUCAACUCGUCUCCAUCAACAUCACUUCACCUGCUUUCUAAAAAGGGAGGAAUAUUGACGUUCAAGGGUUUUUGGGAGUAUUUUUUCUUUGAUUCUGUGGACAAAUAAUUGUUCACCUUGAAGAACACAAAUCGUCAAAUCCAAAAUCUCUAUCUUUCAAAUCCCUUCUGAAAAGAUAAUUUCCUUUCCCUUAACACUCUGAAAACCAUUACUUUUCAAAUUCAAAUUUUGAAUCUUCUUAAAGGCUACUCCAAGAACCUGUUACCCAUCUAAUUUCGCCUACAAAAGGAGGUCUCUUCAACCCCUUUGAAAACAAGGUUAAGUGGUAAAGAAAUCAGGGAAUACUUGGGUUCUAUCACACUCUCUGUUUCACUAAAUUCUUUAUUUUCUUUUUUCUUCUCUAUUCCAAUUUACUUCCAUCGCUCUCAUUGUUUCCCUUCGUCGUUUGAAUUCGGAGUCGAAGGUAGUGGUGGAAUUGCUCUUGGACUUGUCUUCUAGUUCGCUGCCACAGAAAAGGCUCUCAUAUAUCGCAUUCCGUUGGGUUAAACCCAACCUCCAUCAAGUCAAAGCCUCAACCAAAUUCACAAACGAGCUGGUAUACAUUGAUAUACUCUGAUAUACGGUGAAUAUACAUUGGAGGCAGCAACUGCACGCUACCCCAAAAUUUAUGAUGAAAAAUGGAGCCAAAAUAUGUAUGUAUCCACAUUAAUAUACACUGUAUACGUUGUGGUAUACAGAAAAAUGCAGGAAAAAAGCUAUUGAUAUACAGUAGUUAUACAGGAGCGAAAAUGGGUACACAUUAAUAUACACUGUAUACGUUGUGGUAUACAGAAAAAUGCAGGAAAAAAGCUAUUGAUAUACAAUAGAUAUACAGGAGCGAAAAUGGGCUGAAAGUCCAUGGAAUUUGUCCAAGAACUGGACAGACCUUUAAUGGGCCAAAAGGGGCCCAAUUUUAACUCUCCUUUAUUUAUUAUGCAUUCUAAUUUAUUUAUUUGUGUUUGUUUGAACACUUUAAUUAAUUAAUCUAGAUAAAUUCUUCAAGGUUUCGCCA